GGCACUUUAGCUCAGUUGGUUAGAGCGUUCGCUUAACACUCCUUUCGAACAGAUCCUCUGUUCAAAUCAUCCGCGAAAGGUCC